rnacentral:misc_RNA from 1 species
GCAUUAUAAGGAACACGUUCAUCAAUUCCUAUGUUCUUCAAAGCAGUAUCCACUCGACGCAAGAAUUUCGGUACACCUUUCCAGAUUGUCUCAUGAAAGUAGCUCAUUCCAGCUCUCAUUUCGUCUUGUGGCGUUGGAGGAGUUCGUCGGAUUUCAUCCGUGCGAAAUGCAGCUUGAAUCUCCCGUUGCAGAGCUUCAUCAAGUUCUUGUUUGUCAUCAGGAGUAAUGUCUUUUGCAUACAAUUGAGUUAAG